UGCGGGCGUGCAAGGCGCGUGCAAGGGGCGUGCAAGGUGUGUGUGUGCGUGUGUGCGUGCGCCCCCCCCCCCCCAUCCGCGGCCCUACACGUUGAUCUUAUUCGAUCGGCCCCGGCCGAGAUGAGAAGAGCGGCGCCGCGAAGCCCCGGGCGCUGUGCGGCGGCGGCGCGGGCGGGAUGAGUCGAUCAGAUAGGCGAGGCCGCGGCCGCUGAGCUACUGCGAUUCUGACCCG
ensembl:scaRNA small Cajal body-specific RNA 2